rnacentral:rRNA from 1 species
AAGUCGUAACAAGGUUUCCGUAGGUGAACCUGCGGAAGGAUCAUUGUCGAUGCCUAAACAUCAAACGACCCGCGAACAUGUUCACGAAACUGGGGGCUUAGUGGUCCAUCGUGGCCAUUGCGCCCCCAAGCCGAGUGAGUGUUGCAUGCUUUGCGUGCUUCCCUCCUUGGUAAACAAACCAAACCACGGCGCAGGUCGCGCCAAGGAACAUCAACAUGAUCGCUUGCCCUCAACCCCGACCUCGGUGUGUUGUGGGCAAUGCAUUCUGUCGUAUUCACAACGACUCUCGGCAACGGAUAUCUCGGCUCUCGCAUCGAUGAAGAACGUAGCGAAAUGCGAUACUUGGUGUGAAUUGCAGGAUCCCGCGAACCACCGAGUCUUUGAACGCAAGUUGCGCCCGGAGCCAUCUGGCCGAGGGCACGUCUGCCUGGGCGUCACGCAUCGCUGCCCCUCAUGCAACCCCCCAUCAAUAAUCGAUGUGGGGCUGGCAUGGAGGCACACAUUGGUCUCCCGUGUGCACCGUCACACGGAUGGCUUAAAUCUGAGACCUCGGCGCCUGGCGUCGUGACACAACGGUGGUUGAUCAAAACCUCGGCACCGCGUCACGACCCUAGGCUGCACCAUCGAGGCCUCUUCGACCCUCUGAAUGUCAUCACUGACGAUGCUCUCGACGCGACCCCAGGUCAGGCGGGACUACCCGCUGAGUUUAA